rnacentral:rRNA from 1 species
GUGGGGAAUCUUGCGCAAUGGGCGAAAGCCUGACGCAGCCAUGCCGCGUGUGUGAAGAAGGCCUUUUGGUUGUAAAGCACUUUAAGCGAGGAGGAGGCUACCGAGAUUAAUACUCUUGGAUAGUGGACGUUACUCGCAGAAUAAGCACCGGCUAACUCUGUGCCAGCAGCCGCGGUAAUACAGAGGGUGCAAGCGUUAAUCGGAUUUACUGGGCGUAAAGCGCGCGUAGGUGGCCAAUUAAGUCAAAUGUGAAAUCCCCGAGCUUAACUUGGGAAUUGCAUUCGAUACUGGUUGGCUAGAGUAUGGGAGAGGAUGGUAGAAUUCCAGGUGUAGCGGUGAAAUGCGUAGAGAUCUGGAGGAAUACCGAUGGCGAAGGCAGCCAUCUGGCCUAAUACUGACACUGAGGUGCGAAAGCAUGGGGAGCAAACAGGAUUAGAUACCCGGGUAGUCC